rnacentral:lncRNA from 1 species
GGUGCUGCUCACUCUUCCCUUCUCCACCAAGGCUGGGACUCCAUCCCAGAACACACCAAGUUUGUCAGCUCUGAUUAACCUCCUGUCUCCUUCUUUAAUCUCCCCUGGACAGUUUUGGGCUAAAAGAUGUGCUUAACAUCAAAGCAAGAGCACCACUGCACCAAGGCAUUAAAUCUCACAGAGCUCAGCAAGAGGAAUGCAAUCUUUUAUCCCAGCUGGAACAUUUCUAGGAGUGAAAACGUGCCCACCUUGUGAUGCCUCUGUGCCAGACCAGCUUGGGAAUCGCUCCAGCACCAUCCCUGGGGAGCUGGCCAAGCUGGCUGGAGCAUCACAAGAGGUCACUUUGGGUUUGGUGCCUCGUGGAAUGCACUGGGUGUCAAGUGGCCCUUGCAGGAACUCAAAGCAAUUCCCAGGGAAUCUCUUUGGAGGCUGCAGGUGAUCCCAGGGGAUGUUCACAAAGCCAAGCACAAAAUAAGUAUGAAAAUUGUGGAUAUUUCACAUGAAAAUACCUGGAGAUAUUUUCUCAGUGUGGAAGUGAUGCCAUGAAUGCUGUUCUGGAAAGUUCCUGCUCGCUUUCCAUGGAGGAUUUUGGCUGCUGUGCUCACGAGUAGAUGGAGCUGCUUUGCCAGUUCAUUCCAGGUUUUCAUAUGGCAAUGAAAGAAAUGUUUUGAAUGAAAACAUUCUCUGAUGAGGCCUUAACUUCAUUUGUAUUGUUAACCAGAAUUAAAAUCUGCAUUUUUAUGCCGGCAAAGUCUCCACAGGUAAAACUUUAAUGUACAACAUAUGGAAUAUAUAUUUUAAUAAUUCAGUGUAAUUGUGAUGGAAAAGAAAUCAUUGGUGCUGGUAUUUGAGCCUUAAUGAAUAUUGUGGUGCUUUUAAUCACCUUGAUCUCAUUGGCAUUUCAGCAGAGCUGGGUCUAGAAGAGGUGAUUAUAAUAUUUUAAUAUUACCAUCAAAUAUUCAUGAAGCAACAGCAGUAGUUAGUUCUUCCAUAUUACAGCUUUGCUAUUGUUUUAGUACUUACUCCAUUCUGGAGAUGGUUGGACUCAUCAUCUUAAAGGUUUUUUUCCAGUCUUAAUAAUUCCAUGAUUUAUGACACCUUCCAAAGCAUUUCCCUGAUCCCUUCACUCAGUUCUGACAGGCCCAGUGACAUCUGUGAAUGAAGUUAAUUUAUAUUUGAGUGUGGAGCACUCAAACAGCUCCUAAAUAGUGAACAAUUACUCAAGAAAUACUCAUGGUUAAAUAUAAUAAAUAAAUAUCUGGUUGUUUUAAUCUUAUUCUC